UUUACAUUUCUAUUUUUUCCAUCAUCAGUCAUUUUCCAUUUUCAGUGUGAUUCAAUCAGUUCUGUCAGUGUAAUUUCCAUUGGUAUUUUCUCGCUGCGUUUUUUAUUUUGUGUGUGUUCUCUAUUGGUUUUUUUCGGUGUGUUUUCAGUUGAUUUUUUAUCAGUGUGUUUUCCAUUGGUUUUUUUUUAAUGUGUUUAACUGUUAUUUCCAUUUUUUGCGUUGUGUUUUCCUUACUAUUCGGUGUGUUUUCAAUUCAUAUUUUAAGGUAUUUUCCACUGGUUUUCUCUCUGUAUUUUUAUAUUUUUUUCCAGUGUGUUCAGCUUUUUUUGGGUGUUUUCCAUCAUCCAUUUUUUUCGCAAUGCUUUGUUUUACAGUUUCUUCUCAUUUUUGUUUAAAUUUUAACUUUCUAUUUUUUAUUACUACUGAUAAAUUCCAUCCGUGACUUUUGUAGUGGUGUUUUUUAUUAUUUUUCAUUUUUCAGUUUUUUCAUGUUUUUUUUUUAUUUCUAAUUUUCAAGUUUUUUUCCCCUCAAAUUUUCAAGUUAUUAUUUUCAUUACUUAUCAAUUUUUCUUCCUCUUUUCGUUGUCUUUUAAGUUCUAGUUUUUUACUAUGUAUUUACCUUUUUUUUGUUCUUUAUACUUCAAGUGUCUGGUCAUGUUUUGUCACCCCAUUUCGUACUUUCUUCUUUUUUAAUAGUCUCAUUGCUUUCCAACGCAUAUCAAGUUUAUUUAUUUAUUGUUUCAAAUUAUUGCCGAAUGUGUCAAUAAGAUAUUUCAUUGAAUGUGUCAAUAUGAGUAUGUCUUAUAAUUUUUUAUCAGUGUAUUCAGUUUUAUUUUCCAAUUCUUGAUCCAGUUUUUUCGAUUCAUAACAUGCAUGCCUCGUGCAACCGUUCAUUCAACUCGUGCUUUGACUUCUUGUUUUUUGUACUUUUCUUCAUUAUUUUUACAAGUGACAAAUUCCCCAUUCCAUGUGUUUGUCUUUUCGUUUUUCCAUUGGUUUCCGGUUUUUUUUUUAGUUUUUCAGUUUUUUUUAUACUUUUUUCAUUUAGCUUUUCAUUCAAUGUGUCUACCAAAUUUUUUCCGAAUUAAUUUUCAUUUUGUUUUCUAGUGUUUAUCUAAUAUGUUUCACGGCACUUUAUUCAAUUUCUUUCAAAUUUUUUCCCUCCAAUGUGAUCAUAACGGUUUUCAGUCAUAACUUUAAUAGAUUCAAAUAUUCAUAUCACAUUUUCUCUUCAAUUCAUUUUCAUGUUUCCAGUGAGCAGAAAAGAACGGUUUAUUUUUAAUUCUUAUUUAAUAUAUUUCAGCUUUUAAGGAUUUUCUCGUUUUCAGAAGUGAACUUCAUGCUAUCAACAGGGGUCUGUAAUUAUUUAUGCACAAUGACCUUUGUUUAGAAGACCUUUGGAUACUCACUGAUAGCCGCAGCUUCCUGCAAAAUCUCAAAAACAGAACCAGUAUUGUCGGCAAGACCAGUAUUUCCAUCCUAAACUAAUUAAAACUCUUGUCCCUUCAGCAUAAUAUUCACCUGCAGUGGAUUCCUUCUCACGUUGGUCUCUAUAGCAACGACUUAGCGGAUAGACUGGAUAAAGAGGAUUGCAGCCUACCACACCCUACCUCUUCUGAUCUCACCUAUCUUGAACUUUACUCCCUAAAGAAAUCCCAGCUUCUCAGGGACUGGCUGAUUCCUCCCACCCACAAUUGGUAUAAAGGAAAUAAUCUUGGAGUUUCUAUGACUCUUCCCUUUGAAAGGAGAGUCUGUACCCUCCCGCCUAGCUACUGGUCAUCUAAAGGGUUUACUAUUUUCCCAAGGAACUAAAACCUACUCCCUCUGCCGUCAAUGCCAUCUACACCGAGCUUCCGCCGAUCAUAUCCUGGACUGUCUUGGUCUUCUCUGGGAAGACAUCUACUCUACUCCUCUUUUGGUCUUCGAAUUCUUUGAAUCAUUGCCUGAAUCAUUUUCUUUGAGCAGAUCAAGAGAAACUGUUGCUUUUGAAGGACAAACACUGACAGGUUUUAAAGGUCUUCGUGAAGAGUCAUAGACAUCUGUAUUUUGUGGUACACCUUUAACUCUGGUUCUUCUCUUUAUGAUGAAGAAGAUUUAGGCAUGAUAGUCUUCAUGAUGAGGAUGGCAUAUCAUUGGCAAGUGUUUUGUCAUGCACCAUAGUUCUGGACAGGAUGUUGUCUUUAUGAUGGAGAAUUUGUGAUUUGAUGGAGAAUUUGUGAUUUGUGAUUCAUCGUAGCUCUGGACAACUGGUAUUGGUAUUCGUGAAGAGUUAUAGCAUUGACCUCCUGGGUAAUUUGUGAUACACCACUAGUUCUGGGCAGCCUUUAUGAUAGAGAAGAAUAUUUAGUGAUUCAUCAUAGCUCUGGACAGGAUGUUGUCUUUAUGAUGGAGAAUAGUAAUUUGUGAUUCAUCAUAGCUUUGCUUUCGAAAACUUCAUGAAGUACAAAUUCAACGAUGAUUCGACAUCUUAGCUUUUUAGAGGAUCUUAAGAUACUUGGAAAAGUGAGUGUUAAAAUCGACAAGUCGCAAAACUGUUUAGAAGAUUAUGGUAUGUUAUAAUUGAACGUACGCCACCCCUGUUAUGUUCGUUACAGUCUCCAACGUACACUAAAUAUACUCCUACAUAUUCAUAGCAUAAUUUGAUUUGAAAUCUUCUAUAAACUGAAAGGGUCGCAGCAUGUUAUGAUGUUCAACAAUUCAUGUCACUGGGGAGGUUUGAGUGAGAAAGUUCCAUUGAAAGAAGAUUAUUUUCGAAGAAGUAAACGAGAACUGUAAAGGCGGCCAAGUUAACUUACUAAAAUGUUUAAUUAUAUUUCAUUAUACUUUA